rnacentral:misc_RNA from 1 species
GAUGAAGAACGUAGCGAAAUGCGAUAAGUAAUGUGAAUUGCAGAAUUCAGUGAAUCAUCGAAUCUUUGAACGCACAUUGCGCCCGCUGGUAUUCCGGCGGGCAUGCCUGUUCGAGCGUCAUUUCAACCCUCAAGCUCUCCGGAGUUUGGUGUUGGGGCGCCUGGGGCUUUUCGACCUCAGGGCCCUCAAGUCCAUCGGCGGGACCGCCAGGACACUGAGCGCAGUAGUAUUAUUUCGCUCGGUAGGAUCUUCCACGGCGGGUCGAUCUGGCCGCUAAACCCCCCAAUUCUCACCAAAGGUUGACCUCGGAUCAGGUAGGAAUACCCGCUGAACUUAAGCGUAUCAAUAAGCGGGGA